GACAGUAUAUUUAAAUUUCAUAAUGUUUACUCUGCAAGUAAAAGUUGAGCUUUUAGUUCUACUGUUA
rnacentral:tRNA from 1 species